UAGUAGCGUGUGACAAGGAUAACAAUAUAAAUUAGUUCCUCCGUUUCACCGCUAUACGACGCUAUUAUUUUAAUGCACAUUCAGUCUUUUCUUGGUAUAUCAGUUCCAAAAAUAUUACAAAUCAUAAGUGGAUGCUGCUUAUCUACGGAUCAAGUGCAAUCUUUAGGUUAAGCGUGCAGCUUGCGGAACAACUCUAGGAUAGGUGCCGUUUCUUGGCCCAAGGCUGUGGUUCCUAAUAAACCGAGCGUGUGAGGUUAGGGGUCGCCGUCAUCAGCCCUAUUGAUGAAUCUAGUGGCGUCUCUAAUAUGAAAUACACUCCACUUUCUAUAUCCUUUAUAACUUUACAUUAUACAUAAAAUCAUCCGCUACAGAAAUUUCACCUUUAGUAACAUCUACUGACGAAUUGCAAGUUGUAUAUUUUAAUUGUAUAUUUUCAGUUAUAUAUAGCUGUAUUUAUAUACAAAAAUGAAAAGUCCCAUACAAGAGCAAAGGAAGCAGUUUCACUCAGGAACCGACCCAUUAGGUUUUGUUUGUUCUACGUGAUACUCUCAACCAAUAAGUAUUCUUAAAUUCAAGAAUGGGUUGGAAAUAACCAACCAGACCCACAUUCUUUUCGAAAAACUUUUCAUCUCUGCACAACACGGGUUGAUGCAAGUCAUCGUUAUGAAUCUUGAGAUUAUUGAGUUACUACAGUUGAAUUCGUAUCAAUAUACCUGAAACAUGCUGAUAAAGAGAGCCAAUGAUUAUCGAACAAAAAUAGGAUUUCUUUAUUAGAUAUUGACAACGUGAAAAUCUCAAGAUAUAACAAAUUUAGACAAUCGUAUAUAAUUAAUUUAUACAUUGCUAUUACGAGUCGAUUCUUACUCAUUUAAUACAUAUGCAUAUAUAUAUAUGUAUAUAUAUAUAUAUAUAUAUAUACACAUAUACAUAUACACAUAUACUCACUGUACAAAGCAUCAGCCUUAAAAGUUAAAUAAAGCUGACGAUUUCGAAUUUUACAAUGUCUGUACAAGUUUCUUUUUUUUUUUUAAACUAAACGUUCUUUCACCUUACACUUUACGUUUAUAAUGUUUAGAAGAAGAAUGUACGAUAUCUAAUACUUGGUUAGUGAUAUAAUUGUGUCACCUUUUUACAAUGAACGACAUAAAAAAUAUAUAUAGUCACAAACGGAAAAAUAGUCUGCAAUAUAUCAAACUCGUUACUAUAGAAAAUAAAUAUCCUAUACUAUUAUAAAAACUUUGGUUUUUUAUUACCUUUUGCCCCGUUUUUAUAUUUUGCUCAGUAUUAAGUAGAUUUAUCCGAAAUAGAUGCCUUAACAAUACCUUACGCGUAUCUUAUGUAUAUAUACGUGUGUAUGAUAUGUGUGUAUGUGCGUAUGUAUAUAUACACACGCACAUACACACACAUCCCAUAAAAAAAUUUUGUCUUUUAAGACUUUCUGUUUGUAUCCUACUUGUACGUUAAUAUACAAAAUGUGUAUGUGUAAAUGUACGUACUAUCUGUGCGAUAAUCAAACAUCUUCAUCUGAAGAAUAUUGUCUGAAUCGAUCUUACAUCUGAAACUCAAACGCUGCAUUGCAAAAACGGUGUCUCACAUCAGUCUUACAAUUAAAUUAGUUUUAAGCGUAAUAAGGUAUCAUUUUAUAUGCACUAUUUAGAAAAAAAAAAAAAACAAGAAAAGAACCGAAGC